UGCCUUUGUGUUGCCCAUUCAUUACUUUCACCAGUGAAUGUGGUGUCAGAAAAGGCAUACAGUGGUACCUCGGGUUACAUACGCUUCAGGUUACAGAA